CCUGAACUCACCGAGGUUUCUGCGGGGGUGUAAGCCAAAUAGAAACUGCCCAGCAUUUAGUGUGGCAUAUCUACCAAAGGAGGUCAAAGAUGAUGCCCACUCUUCUUCUGAGUUACUGAGAAGUGGAUCUAGUUUGAGGCCCAAGAAGCAUAAGACAUCAGUCUGACAAGUGCCUGUAUCAGAGCAAUAUGAAUUCUACUAAAAUCGAAGCAAGAAUAUCAAAUUGAUGGUGAAGCUUGGGUGAAAGAAUGGUGAAAUCUUGAUGCUUUAUGAAAAGUUUAUGAGGACAAUGCCCUAAAGAAAUCAGCAGUUUUACAAAUAGAAAACUCAUUUGAAAAAGGGAUGAGAUGAUGUUGAAGAUAAAGCCUGCAGCAGCAGACCAUCCACAUCAAUUUGCAAGGAAAAUAUUUGUCUUGUUUGUGCCCUAAUUGCAGAGGACCAGCAAUUAACAGACAACACCAUAGACAUCUCAAUUUGUUCAGCCUAUACAAUUCUGACUGAAAAACUAAAGUUGAGCAAACUUUCCAAUCAAUGGGUGCCAAAACUGUUAGGCCCAAAUCACCUGCAGACAAAAGCAGGGCAUUCAAUGGAAAUUUUAAACAAGUGAGAUCAAGAUCCCGAGGCACUUCUUUGAAGAGCUGUAACAGGAGAUGAAAAAUGGCUUUACCAGCACAAUCCUGAAGAUAAAGCAAAAUAAAAGCAAUGGCUACCAAGAGGUGAAAGUGGUCCAGUCAAAGCAAAAGCAGACCAGUCAAGAUCAAACAGCAAGGCAACCGUCUUGGGGAUGCUCAAGGCAUUUUGU